rnacentral:rRNA from 1 species
AAAAAUAGCUACGGGGGUACACCUGGUCACAUUUCGAACCCAGAAGUUAAGCCCGUAAACGCUGAAGGUACUUGGUGGGAAGCUGCCCGGGAGAAUAGGAAUUUGCCAAGC